CACGUAGUUGGCCGGGGCUUCUUCUGGAGGUACCGUCAAUUUCGUCCCUCCUGAAAGGGGUUUACAACCCGAAGGCCUUCAUCCCCACGCGGCGUCGCUGUCUCAGGCUUUCGCCCAUUGGACAAGAUUCCCU
rnacentral:rRNA from 1 species